UGUGCAARGGCCCUUUAAUCCCCAUUAGGGAAAAGGAGCUGUUUUUAGGCACUAAAAUCUGCCCAAAACACCUAGCUACGCCACACCCACAAGGGAUUUUACCAUUGAUUAACAUUGAAUAUGAGCGACAGCUUGAUUCAGUUAGGGUAAAGUAGAGUCCGCCUAAUCUGGGGCCAGCCGCCCGCGUGUUACUACCAUGUGGCUCAAAUUGAUCCCUGUCGGCGUAAAGCGUGAUUAAAGCACCCAAAAACUUGAGGUUGAACUAAAACUAGGCUGUGACACGCUUGCGAUUAAAAACCCAAAACGAAAGUACCCCAAUUAAACCAACUUGAAUUCACGACAGCUAGGACACAAACUGGGAUUAGAUACCCCACUAUGCCUAGCCGGRUACUUUAAAUUACACCCACAUCGCCUGAGAACUACUGAGCAAAGCUUAAAACUCACAGGCUUGACGGUCCCCCAUAUCCCCCUAGAGGAGCCUGUCCUAUAAUCGAUAACCCCCGUUUAACCUCACCAUUUUUAGCCAAUCAGCCUGUAUACCUCCGUGGUCAGCUUACCACGUGAGCGAAACUCAAGUGAGCUUAAUGCCUUUACACCAAAUACGUCAGGUCAAGGUGCAGC
rnacentral:rRNA from 1 species